rnacentral:ncRNA from 2 species
AAAGUCCACUAGGGGAGCCAUUAUGGCUGAGACAAGAAUGAACUUGGACCCUUUGAACCUGAUCUAGUUCGUACUAGCGUAGGAAAGUGGAGCCUUCGUAUA